UACGUAGGGUGCAAGCGUUGUCCGGAAUUAUUGGGCGUAAAGAGCUCGUAGGCGGUCUGUCGCGUCUGCUGUGAAAACUCGGGGCUUAACCCCGGGCCUGCAGUGGGUACGGGCAGACUAGAGUGCGGUAGGGGAGACUGGAAUUCCUGGUGUAGCGGUGAAAUGCGCAGAUAUCAGGAGGAACACCGGUGGCGAAGGCGGGUCUCUGGGCCGUAACUGACGCUCGAUGCACGAAAAGCGUGGGGAGCAAACAGG
rnacentral:rRNA from 1 species